rnacentral:rRNA from 1 species
GCUUAGAGAGGGGUCAAUGUCCUAUCAGCUAGUUGGUAAGGUAAUGGCUUACCAAGGCUAAGACGGGUAGCCGGCCUGAGAGGGUGGUCGGCCACACUGGGACUGAGACGCUGCCCAGACUCCUACGGGAGGCUGCAGUCGAGAAUCUUUCGCAGUGCCCGAAAGGGUGACGAAGCGACGCCGCGUGUGGGAAGAAGGCCUUCGGGUUGUAAACCACUGUCGGGAGUUAAGAAAUGUAAGGGUGUUAAUAGCAUCCUUACUUGACUAAGGCUCCGGAGGAAGCCACGGCUAACUCUGUGCCAGCAGCCGCGGUAAUACAGAGGCGGCAAGCGUUGUUCGGAAUUAUUGGGCGUAAAGAGCACGUAGGCGGCUUUGUAAGUCAGUUGUGAAAGCCUUCCGCUUAACGGAAGAACAGCAUCUGAUACUGCAAGGCUAGAGUGCGGAAGGG